rnacentral:rRNA from 1 species
AUUGAACGCUGGCGGCAGGCCUAACACAUGCAAGUCGAGCGGAUGAAGGGAGCUUGCUCCUGGAUUCAGCGGCGGACGGGUGAGUAAUGCCUAGGAAUCUGCCUGGUAGUGGGGGAUAACGUCCGGAAACGGGCGCUAAUACCGCAUACGUCCUGAGGGAGAAAGUGGGGGAUCUUCGGACCUCACGCUAUCAGAUGAGCUUAGGUCGGAUUAGCUAGUUGGUGGGGUAAAGGCCUACCAAGGCGACGAUCCGUAACUGGUCUGAGAGGAUGAUCAGUCACACUGGAUCUGAGACACGGUCCAGACUCCUACGGGAGGCAGCAGUGGGGAAUAUUGGACAAUGGGCGAAAUCCUGAUCCAGCCAUGCCGCGUGUGUGAAGAAGGUCUUCGGAUUGUAAAGCACUUUAAGUUGGGAGGAAGGGCAGUAAGUUAAUACCUUGCUGUUUUGACGUUACCAACAGAAUAAGCACCGGCUAACUUCGUG